AGAGUUUGAUCAUGGCUCAGAUUGAACGCUGGCGGCAGGCUUAACACAUGCAAGUCGAGCGGUAACAGGUCCUCGGAUGCUGACGAGCGGCGGACGGGUGAGUAACGCGUAGGAACCUGCCUGAUAGUGGGGGAUAGCCCGGCGAAAGCCGGAUUAAUACCGCAUACGCUCUACGGAGGAAAGGGGGCUUCGGCUCCCGCUAUCAGAUGGGCCUGCGUAGGAUUAGCUAGUUGGUAGGGUAAAGGCCUACCAAGGCGACGAUCCUUAGCUGGUCUGAGAGGAUGAUCAGCCACACUGGGACUGAGACACGGCCCAGACUCCUACGGGAGGCAGCAGUGGGGAAUAUUGGACAAUGGGGGAAACCCUGAUCCAGCCAUGCCGCGUGUGUGAAGAAGGCCUUCGGGUUGUAAAGCACUUUCAGUGGGGAGGAAGGCUUGAUGGUUAAUACCCAUCAGGAUUGACGUUACCCACAGAAGAAGCACCGGCUAACUCCGUGCCAGCAGCCGCGGUAAUACGGAGGGUGCGAGCGUUAAUCGGAAUUACUGGGCGUAAAGCGCACGUAGGCGGCUUGGCAUGUCGGGUGUGAAAUCCCCGGGCUCAACCUGGGAACUGCAUCCGAAACUGCCUUGCUAGAGUAUGGGAGAGGGAAGCGGAAUUUCUGGUGUAGCAGUGAAAUGCGUAGAUAUCAGAAGGAACAUCAGUGGCGAAGGC
rnacentral:rRNA from 1 species